UAGGGAAUCUUCGGCAAUGGGGGGAACCCUGACCGAGCAACGCCGCGUGAGUGAAGAAGGUUUUCGGAUCGUAAAGCUCUGUUGUUAAGGAAGAACGAGUGUGAGAAUGGAAAGUUCAUACUGUGACGGUACUUAACCAGAAAGGGACGGCUAACUACGUGCCAGCAGCCGCGGUAAUACGUAGGUCCCGAGCGUUGUCCGGAUUUAUUGGGCGUAAAGCGAGCGCAGGCGGUUAGAUAAGUCUGAAGUUAAAGGCAGUGGCUCAACCAUUGUAGGCUUUGGAAAAUGUUUAACUUGAGUGCAGAAGGGGAGAGUGGAAUUCCAUGUGUAGCGGUGAAAUGCGUAGAUAUAUGGAGGAACACCAGUGGCGAAGGCGACUCUCUGGUCUGUAACUGACGCUGAGGCUCGAAAGCGUGGGUAGCAAACAGG
rnacentral:rRNA from 1 species